UCUCUGCUAGUAUAUCGGUUAGUACACGCGCCUGUCAUGCCUUGUAUUGAUCGCGAUGAUUGCAAACGCGCGAAAGCUGGGUUCGACUCCCAGGCAGAGAG